rnacentral:rRNA from 1 species
UGAGGAAUAUUGGUCAAUGGACGGAAGUCUGAACCAGCCAUGCCGCGUGCAGGAUGACGGCUCUAUGAGUUGUAAACUGCUUUUGUACGAGAAUAAUAGUUCUUACGUGUAGGGAUUUGAAUGUAUCGUACGAAUAAGGAUCGGCUAACUCCGUG